GGCAGAGUCCUUAGUCUUUUGAACUGAAGUGGUGAGAGUUUACACCCUGUCUUGUUCCUGACUAUAGAAGAAAAGCUCUCGUUUUCUCCCCACUGAAGAUUAUAUUAGCUAUAAUGUUGAUUUCUACCUCCUCACCCCAACCAUCUUAAAUUUUGAGGUAAUCAACCUACAACCUGGGGAGGCCUGGUACCUUCAGCUUCUCCUUGGCCAGCUCUGGAAGAAGUGGCCUGUUUCCCCAAGAGCCACAUCAUCACAGCAGA